ensembl:snoRNA SNORD54 small nucleolar RNA U54
UGGCUAUGAGGAGAAAACUUGACACAUGAGAAAAGCUGAUUUUGUCUAUACGCUAUUCUGAGCCACCG